rnacentral:rRNA from 1 species
AUUGAACGCUGGCGGCAGGCUUAACACAUGCAAGUCGAGCGAGCGGCGGACGGGUGAGUAAUGUCUGGGAAACUGCCUGCUGGAGGGGGAUAACUACUGGAAACGGUAGCUAAUACCGCAUACCAUCAGAUGUGCCCAGAUGGGAUUAGCUAGUAGGUGGGGUAAUGGCUCACCUAGGCGAAGAUCCCUAGCUGGUCUGAGAGGAUGACCGGCCAAACUGGAACGGAGAAACGGUCCAGACUCCUACGGGAGGCAGCAGUGGGGAAUAUUGAACAAUGGGGGCAAGCCUGAUGCAGCCAGGCCGGGGGUGGGAAGAGGGCUUGCGGGUUGUAAAGAACUUUAAGCGAGGAGGCGUUACUCGAAGAAGAAGCACCGGCUAACUCCGUGCAAGCCGCCGCGGUAAUC